CCCCUAAAUAGGGACUGGAAUGAACGGCUACAUGAAGACUUUACUGUCUCUUGCUGCUAGUCAAUGAAACUGAUCUCCCAGUACAAAAGCUGGAAUAAUUUCAUAAGACAAAAAGACCCUGUGGAGCUUUUAAACCAAGUACACCAAAAUGUUCUAUCACGGUUUUUAGUUGGGGCGACUUCGGAACAAAAUAAAACUUCCGAAACCAUGGAAUCAUACCCAUAUUUUAAGGCCAACACGCCAAGAUUAAUCAUCUACUUGACCCAGUUUACCACAUACUGAUCAAUGAACCAAGUUACCCCAGGGAUAACAGCGCCAUCUUCUUUUAGAGUCCAUAUCGACAAGAAGGUUUACGACCUCGAUGUUGGAUCAGGACACCCAAAUAGUGCAGCCGCUAUUAAAGGUUCG
rnacentral:rRNA from 1 species